UUCAUCUUAUUUCUAGGGGCGUGAAGCUGAGUGGGGCACAAUGAUUUGUCAUAAGUAAAAGGUGAUAGGUGUAGCUAGCUGGCUACGAGCGCUUCGCCCACGGCUGGCCAUGUGAUCUACAAUUCCAACGGCGUUGUUAGAAAGGUCAAUAAUCAUUGCUGGCUAAAUGGUUUUCGAAAUAUAUAUGUCCCUUAUCUUUCAAAACAGCAAGAAAGAAUGUUUCCAAUAAAAUAGAUACUGCUAGCUAACGUUACAGUAAGUUCUGAACAGAUCCAUACUGUGUGCCUCCAGUUGAAGAACUAACUAGGUCUUCAAAGCACGCUAGAUAGCUAAUUAGCACAGGUGACUGCCUCAGUCUUCCGUAAAUAAACCAUGUGACAUGGAGGGAUGGCCAUGUGAGAACACUAACUCUAUAAAGUAGGGUGUCCAAUCAAAAAUGCAACUUUUGAAUAAUGGGUAGAAAUAUAUGUUAAUUGUGUAGAUCAGGGUUGUCCAACCCUGUCCUGGAGAGCUACCAUCCUGUAGGUUCUCACUCCAACCCUGUUCCUGGAGAGCUACCAUCCUGUAGGUUCUCACUCCAACCCUGUUCCUGGAGAGCUACCAUCCUGUAGGUUCUCACUCCAACCCUGUUCCUGGAGAGCUACCAUCCUGUAGGUUCUCACUCCAACCCUGUUCCUGGAGAGCUACCAUCCUGUAGGUUCUCACUCCAACCCUGUUCCUGGAGAGCUAACAUCCUGUAGGUUCUCACUCCAACCCUGUUCCUGGAGAGCUACCAUCCUGUAGGUUCUCACUCCAACCCUGUUCCUGGAGAGCUACCAUCCUGUAGGUUCUCACUCCAACCCUGUUCCUGGAGAGCUACCAUCCUGUAGGUUCUCACUCCAACCCUGUUCCUGGAGAGCUACCAUCCUGUAGGUUCUCACUCCAACCCGGUUCCUGGAGAGCUACCAUCUUGUAGGUUUUCAUUAGCACCCUGUUCCUGUAGGUUCACUCCAACCUUCAUCUAGCGAAACUUAUUAGAAUAAUUAGCCGCUUGAAAAGCUGAAUCAGG